AUCGCUUCUCGGCCUUUUGGCUAAGAUCAAGUGUAGUAUCUGUUCUUAUCAGUUUAAUAUCUGAUACGUCCUCUAUCCGAGGACAAUAUAUUAAAUGGAUUUUUGGACGCUGGCGUUGGACUAGGAGCUUGCUCCAUCCACUCCGCGCGUCGACCUGGUAUUGCAGUACUUCCAGGACCGGUGCACCCCGU
rnacentral:snRNA from 1 species